rnacentral:rRNA from 1 species
UACAGAGGGGGCAAGCGUUGUUCGGAAUUACUGGGCGUAAAGGGCGCGUAGGCGGCCUGCUAAGUCGAACGUGAAAUCCCCGGGCUCAACCCGGGAACUGCGUCCGAUACUGGCAGGCUUGAAUUCGGGAGAGGGAUGCGGAAUUCCAGGUGUAGCGGUGAAAUGCGUAGAUAUGUGGAGGAACACCGAUGGCGAAGGCAGCCCCCUGGGCCAAUACUGACGCUCAUGCACGAAAGCGUGGGGAGCAAACAGG